GCAGGGUCAGUUUUGGGAGUCUAGUACUGUUUUCCUCUUUCCGUUGUUUUUAGUAUCCUUCCUGUAAUUAUCCUUGCUCCUUGUUGGUAUUGAAAGUUUAAGCUGCUUGAGUUACUUCCCUUUGAUCAGUAGCCUGGAACAAGCGGGUUUUUCAGAUAGUUAUCAGGGAGUCAUUGCUGAGAGCAAUAUAUAUAAUUUUAUGAAGUUUCUAGGUCUCAUAGAAAUUAUAAGCAUUCACAGCAGCACCCACAGAGUGAUCCUGUUUGUAUGUGUGAAGCCAUCAGUCAGUUGUAUGUUUGGUAUUUGGUCCCACAGACCUUAUGCCAUUGUUUUGUCGACUUGGCGAUUAUAUCCCUCAAUUCUGUUGACGUAAUUGUAUACAGAGUAAAGAAUCAUCGCAUAGA
rnacentral:lncRNA from 1 species